rnacentral:rRNA from 1 species
GAUGAACGCUAGCGGGAGGCUUAAUACAUGCAAGUCGAACGGUAACAGUCUAAAACCUAGUUUUGGAGCUGACGAGUGGCGCACGGGUGAGUAACGCGUACAUAAUCUACCUUUAACUGGAGGGCAGCCCUGGGAAACUGGGAUUAAUACUCCAUAGUAUCAUUGUUUGGCAUCGAAUAAUGAUUAAAGCUCCGGCGGUUAAAGAUGAAUGUGCGUACUAUUAGGUAGUUGGUAAGGUAACGGCUUACCAAGCCGACGAUAGUUAGGGGGCGUGAGAGCGUGAUCCCCCACACGGGUACUGAGACACGGACCCGACUCCUACGGGAGGCAGCAGUAAGGAAUAUUGGACAAUGGAGGCAACUCUGAUCCAGCCAUCCCGCGUGCAGGAUGACGGCCCUAUGGGUUGUAAACUGCUUUUAGAUAGGACGAACCACAUGAAUUUAUUUGUGUCUGACGGUACUAUCAGAAUAAGCACCGGCUAAUUCCG